rnacentral:rRNA from 1 species
GACGAACGCUGGCGGCGUGCCUAAUACAUGCAAGUUGAGCGAUGAAGAUUGGUGCUUGCACCAAUUUGAAGAGCAGCGAACGGGUGAGUAACGCGUGGGGAAUCUGCCUUUGAGCGGGGGACAACAUUUGGAAACGAAUGCUAAUACCGCAUAACAACUUUAAACAUAAGUUUUAAGUUUGAAAGAUGCAAUUGCAUCACUCAAAGAUGAUCCCGCGUUGUAUUAGCUAGUUGGUGAGGUAAAGGCUCACCAAGGCGAUGAUACAUAGCCGACCUGAGAGGGUGAUCGGCCACAUUGGGACUGAGACACCGCCCAAACUCCUACGGGAGGCAGCAGUAGGGGAUCUUCGGCAAUGGACGAAAGUCUGACCGAGCAACGCCGCGUGAGUGAAGAAGGUUUUCGGAUCGUAAAACUCUGUUGGUAGAGAAGAACGUUGGUGAGAGUGGAAAGCUCAUCAAGUGACGGUAACUACCCAGAAAGGGACGGCUAACUACGUG